GACGGUGGAGGAGGUGACGACGAUGAUGAUGAUGACGACGAUGAUGACAAUGAGGACGACGACGAUGAUGACGACGAUGUCGCUGCUGAAGACGAUGAGGAUGGAGUAGAAGAGGAGGAUGACGACCAGGACAACGACGAUGAUGAGGAGGACGAUGACGAGGACUCGCUCCAGCCCCCGAAGAAGAAGAAGAAGUGAAGCCCUUCGACGCGGCUGCUUUAGUCACCAUGCAAUGAGAUGUGCCUGUUCUUCACUGUGUUCUGGAAACUUUCCUUAGAGUUAAAAAUGCCCCACACGAUCACAAUGUGUGGGCUUGUAGGAGCGAUUAGAGGGAACUUUGUUGUCACCGUUGCUUUGCUUCUGUGGAGUUGAUCGAACAGAUGUUUCGCUAACAUAAUUGUACCUGAGUGGCGAAAGCCUCAAGAUUUGAAUAUGUCAGUCAACUCUUUUUAUCUCCUUCCGGCAUCGUUCUGUGCAAUCUUGUUCAGAACACAUUGUGUUGGUAGCUCCUUAAAUAAGGCCAAAUCACAUUGUUGAUAGCUCCUGGAUUUAUCGUGGGUGCUGUCUGGUUUCUGCAUAAUUCUGCUGAUGAUGGUGACUAGAUGAUUACGCUAAUGUCUAGAUAUAUGGCUUGUUAGUGUAGUACCCCCUCUGUUUUAAAAUAAUUGUCUCAACUUUGUACUAACUUAUUUUAAUAUAAAAUUGUACUAAAGUUCUGACACUUAUUUUAAGACGGAAGGGGUAUUUUCUAUAUAAUUAAACAGAACACAUCUCUGUCCAAAAGAAAAUAAAAGAACAUCUCCCUUGGUCUUUGCACACUGUCCAAGCGGCAUGGCUCAGAUGUCACACCCAUAGGCGUGAUCUAGGAAGGUGCCAAAGUGCCACUUGAUGCCACCCUUCAGAGAAGUAAGAAGCGUUACAUCCCUGAUAGGAGGUUUCUUUUUCCCUUUGGCGGUUGCGAUUGAUAAGGCAAUCAUCCUCUCCAAGCUUCAUCAAGGAACCCAUGGAGCGGCCAAUGGCAGGAAAAGGAUCCCAGUGCCUCGGCUCUGACUAAUAGUUUAGGUUAGGUGACCGGUGGCGGGAGAGGAUCCCAGUGCUCCGUCUCCGGCUAGUAGUUUAGGUUAGGUUUUUUCUCGUAGGGGCGCUAUUUGGGUGGAUGGUGGCGUUUCAUCUUUGAGCUAGUCUUUUCGGCUCUGAUUCACCUCGAGUUUGUCCAUCGGGACGGAAUCAACGGAGCUAUGGCCUAGAUUUCCGUCGUUUCCUUGGGUCACCGGGAUUAGGGUUUCUCGCCGUUCGUGUGCGACGACGAGAUUUUGCGUCGGGCGCUUUAGAUUGAUUCAAGGGUUCAAUUUGAUGACUGCGGCUAUGAGGCGCAGGUCCUUAGGUACACGUGCACUAAGACUUUCCGGCUGUUAUCGACAAGAUUAAGCGACUCCUAUAGGGAAACAGUGAAACGGUGUGUAGCUUGCUCUAGGUGGUGCAAAGUCCUUGAUGUAAUCAUUGUUGCGUUUGGGAUGCUUUGUACAUCUUAUGAACCUUUAUAGUAUUAUUUGGGUCAUUUUUCGCCAAAAAAAAACACUAGAGAGUGGCUUAUAUUUAGAUAUAGAAAAUUAAUUCAAAUUACAAACAUUAAAGAUCAAUGAACUUGUAUGUUGAAUUCCAAUACUAUGAUGCAUUAUCGUGUAUCUAUCUGGUAUUGUUGACAAGCUUUAAACUUAUGUGUCUACAAGUCCAAAUAAAUGUAUGCGCUCUUAAAUUUGUAAGCGCUGCUACACGGACGAUAAAUUUACGGCCGACGCCUGCACGAUCCUACUUGGCAGAGUCAAGAGCUAGCAUGCAUGCAGGAAGCGAUGUUGAGGAGGACGCAUCGUUCGCGGAUCGUGCAGACAGUGUCGUGUGUAAAGCAAUUCCGUAAAUUUGUGGCUCAAUUUUUCUUGGUCACAAGAUAGCCAGUUGUCCAAGGUCUUUUCCCAUAUGAGUUUGAUUAACGUAUGCAAAUUUAUACUAAAAAUGAAAAUUUCCAUGCAUUGCAACGGGCAUAAAUAGGUUAACCCAUGAUUUAUCUGCCCAUAUUAAUUUGGUUAUGCAAAAGAAAUAUGAUUAUCACAGAAGACAAAAAUUUAUUUGGUAAAUAAGAGGUGGGGCAGUUAAGGCGUCUGUCAAGAAAACCCGAUGGAAAAUCAGAUAUGGGAGAGGAAAAAAUCAAAUAGGGAGAGAAGGAGGUGAGAAAGCAAACAUAGGUAAGAUUGAACAAAAUAGGAGGGAUUUUUAAAUAGUACGAUGCAUUUAGAAUUACAAAUGAGGCAAUUUGGUACUCUCAUAUAGUCAUACUCAAACUCACUUGUAUCUAAAGCAUGCCACGUGACAAACCCUAGCCACCAACAAUCUCCUCACCCAGUACGUUGGUUCUCCUCCCCGUCAGACUUCUUGUCACUGAGACCGGGGAUCUGGAUCCUGUGUAGAUUAAAACUUUCUAUGUUAAUUUUGUGCAUCCUUGGCGGUGAGGUAGCCAAGGUGGGGGCGACAUAGUGUGGAAUAAGUAAUUAUCGUUUGCAAACUCCAUCCUCAUCCUGGCAUGUCUAGCUUUCGCGGCCAACAUCGGUGAGCUAGUGGUAUUUUGGGAAAAAAAACAUUUCAUCAUAGUGUGAUCAUGGUCUUUUCUUUCAACAAUUUUGGCAAUGAAGUGUUGGUUUGAUAACCUGCCUUAUGAGGAUGUGUCUUUAGGUACGGUGCACUCAAUGGUUUAAGAUUUUCACCACUGACGGUGGACGGUUGAUGUGGCUAUUCAAAACUUUCGAAGUUGGUUAAUCUUGUGCAUGUAUGGUCUUAUGCGGUUUGUUUUCCAAGUGCGAAGAAGAACAUCAGGAUGUGAUUGGUGGAGCUAGAGAUGACUAAAUUAGAGUGUUCUAAUAUAAUUUUUAAGUCCAGUAAUGUUCUUUGCUAGUCAUGUUUGUUCAUUCCGUCUUUGAUCCGUUGUAAGUCUUCAUUUUGUUAAUAAACUAACAUCUUGGGUCUAAAAGAAACAUGUCACGUAGAGGGGAAAACACUUAAGAUGGAGAUAAAUACCAUCAUAUCUUAUCAAGAUAUUGCUCCUAUCAUGGAACCUGAAGUUGUAAAAUGCAAAAGGCAUUAGUCCACCAACUUGGGGGCUCAUGUUAAUAAGCCUUGCUCGGACUGACUGCAUCUACAUGGCGCGCCGUACUCGCAAAUCAAUGAAAGUGACAAUGGGCAGGGCGUCGUGUACUUGUUGCGAUUGUAUUUUAAGCGUUUUCCCAAAUCCUCAUUCUCGGUCUUUCCACUCGUCCGCCUCUCUUAUUUCUUUAAAAAAAUCACGUGUAAUUUUAUUCAAAGCCAACAACCAUUACUUGUACAAUGUUUUGGAUCAUAGACCCAAAAAUUGCAGAAUAACUCCUACACUAAAAUUACAAUAAAACAUCUUGAAGAUUUAGUCUCUGUAGCGACAAUCCUCACAAACAUGAACUACUACCAAGGCCUCCAUAAAUACAAGAUCAGCCUCUUUUGUCUGUGUAGCGACGACUAAGGUGCAUGACAAAGAACAACCUCACCUUAGGUAUCCACUCCCAUGACUUCUUCUCGCAGGAUCAGGGCCGGCAACAGAGCUACAAAUCCAUCAUGGUAGCCCGCCUCAGCCCUUAAUUCGACGGCGUUUUUUGAAAAGUGCCUCGAAAGCUUUUCGGCGAUUUGCAGAAGUGCCGCUAAACUCCAGCAACACUUGGGCUGAAAUGGACAGGCCCGUUAGCGCAGGCUCCUUCUCCCGUAGCUGUUAUCCUGAAGCAACCUGAUUGCCCUGUCGUAAGGCGAUAUAUGAAGGGGUUUUUCAGAGUCCUGAAGGAACUAACCAGUUCAUCAAGUCAUACAUAGUGGACCUGCAAACUAUCGCUGCUGUGGGCAGUGGUCAGGAACAACAUCAAGCGGCGAGACCUAGCCACUGGAUUGCACCACCGGACACGUAUGCGAAGAUCAAUGUGGAUGCGGCGACCGCAACCAACCGAGGAGUUGCUGCUGCUAUCUGUCGAGAUCAAGCUGGCAUUUUUCAAGGUGCUUCGGCUCUGGUUAUCAAGGGAACCAAUGAUCCACCAACGCUCGAAGCAUUAGCAGUCAGAGAGGCUUUGGCGCUUGCCGAUGAUCUUAAUAGCCGCAGAAUACAUGUCGCUUCUGACUGCAAAGAUGUACUGAACGACAUCAAGAACAAAACACCGGCUAUCUAUGGAGCUAUUCUGCAUGAAAUCAUAGAUCAUAGUUCCACUUUUAUUUCAUGUACCUUUGUGCAUGAGUUUAGGAGCUCGAAUUUCGAGGCUCACAAUCUUGCGAAGCAUAGUUUGAAUUUGGGGGUUGGCCGCCAUGUGUGGUUAGGCAAUCCUGGUAAUCUUUCUUUUGUACCUUUGAACAUUGGCACAAGUUAAAUAAAGCUUUGCGUGAUUGUCUCAAAAAAAAAAAAAAACCUGAUUGCCCUGUCUUUUUAAGGUGGUCAAGCUACUGUUCCCUAAGCAGUAUGGGACUAAAACUGCUUUGCCUGAGACGCAGCGACCGAACUGAUUGGUCAGCACCGCCGCCAAAAUACAACUACUCCAUCAUAUGAAUCUUCAGGAACCAUGCAUCAUUAGCUUCGCCUGUUCAGGUUGAGAUGACAAAUUCGUUUAAUUUUGUUUUCAGCAAGUGACGAGGCAGAUUUUUUGUAUUUCUCUCCCAACUCCGGCGACACGUGUACCGGCGACCAUAACUUCUAUAUUUCUUCCCUGCUCAGAGACAAUGAAUCAUCGAUUUUACACCGCUGGGCCUCGUCGGAUUGUUCGAACACAGCACAUCUUGUGUGUAACAGCUGAUCACCGACCAGUACACCAAGGUAGCUGUCUGUACUCCAAUGGGAAGGGACGUCUUUUAACAUAUAUAUACACAGGCAUGUCUCACGGUCCAAAACAACGUCACCGUCUUCUCCAGCGCCGGCGUUCGGCUGCCUCGACGUUGCGAUUAAACGGCGACACCCGCGAGCUGAGAGUCUCAUUCAUGCACAUAGCAGCAGCUCGGCCACCUGCGGUCACCACCUUCAUUCCGAGGCAAUUUUCUAAAACGCCUUCAUAGCUCAUCAAUCCGAGGCACUUUUCUAAAUCGCCUCCAUAGCUACAUCAAUCCGAGGCACUUUCUUAAAUCGCCUCCAUAGCUACAUCAAUCAGAGGCAGUUUCCUACAACGCCUCCAUAGCUGCAUCAAUCCGAGGCACUUUCCUAAAACGCCUCCAAAACUGAUCAAUCCGAGGCGUUUUCAAGGUGCCCUUAAAAAAAUGCCUUGAAUCAACGACCGUGGUGUAGUGUGUGUGUCGGUGCACAUGGAGUGGGACGGACAUUGGCCAGAUGUCCACAAAUGGUACACUACUUAUCAAGGCUUCUACGACAGAGAUGCGUUGGCAUCAUAGUGUCUAAGGGUCCGCGAGGGUAGUGGUGAUUCGUGAGUAAUAACAUUGUUUUCCCGUCCAGUUACGUGUUUCAAGAUCGUCCUUGGUCGGGAUAACUCCUCUUCAAAGAUACCAUAGAAAAAUCAUUAUUUUUUAGAGGAACUUGUAUUUUUCCAAAUUGAUCCCUUAUUGCCAACUGGCGAGUUGAAAGAUACAAGCACACGAUACAUUGGGACAACUGAGAGCGGAACUCAUUGCACCCUUGCAAUAUGGACAAAUGCCUCGGAGCGCACUUUCAGCGCACGGCGUCAACGGUGCACUUUAUCUGCCGCGUUCGUGGCGUGCAUCGAGAUGUAACUAAGGUCUGCCAGCCUGUUAUAUAGCUACUGCAACUGACAAUAUACUAUUCGUCCUACAGAGCAUAAUACCCGUGCCUUGGUCCAGUAUAACAUGCGCAGCUAUAUGUGUGCCACCGUGCAUUCUUAACCUAUCCUAGGUUUGGAACUAGUUCGAGCUGAGAGUGGUAUCUGUUCUUCGCACACAUUGUGCCGGAGCUUAAAUGCUGAUAUCGCACUGGAGACUGGAGUCUGAUAGACCCCACUAGUUUCGGGUGAGCAGUGGCACCGGUUCUCUAUAUCUUUCGUGUGUGGGGUGGUGGUCAUCGUCACAACACAAAAAACACGCG
rnacentral:lncRNA from 1 species